UAUUGGGCGUAAAGCGCGCGCAGGCGGAUCAGUCAGUCUGUCUUAAAAGUUCGGGGCUUAACCCCGUGAGGGGAUGGAAACUGCUGAUCUAGAGUAUCGGAGAGGAAAGUGGAAUUCCUAGUGUAGCGGUGAAAUGCGUAGAUAUUAGGAAGAACACCAGUGGCGAAGGCGACUUUCUGGACGAAAACUGACGCUGAGGCGCGAAAGCCAGGGGAGCGAACGGGAUUAGAUACCUCGGUAGUCCUGGCCGUAAACGAUGGGUACUAGGUGUAGGAGGUAUCGACCCCUUCUGUGCCGGAGUUAACGCAAUAAGUACCCCGCCUGGGGAGUACGACCGCAAGGUUGAAACUCAAAGGAAUUGACGGGGGCCCGCACAAGCGGUGGAGUAUGUGGUUUAAUUCGACGCAACGCGAAGAACCUUACCAGGUCUUGACAUUGAUGGACAGAACCAGAGAUGGUUCCUCUUCUUCGGAAGCCAGAAAACAGGUGGUGCACGGUUGUCGUCGGCUCGUGUCGUGAGAUGUUGGGUUAAGUCCCGCAACGAGCGCAACCCCUAUCUUAUGUUGCCAGCACGUGAUGGUGGGAACUCAUGAGAGACUGCCGCAGACAAUGUGGAGGAAGGCGGGGAUGACGUCAAAUCAUCAUGCCCCUUAUGACCUGGGCUACACACGUACUACAAUGGGAGUUAAUAGACGGAAGCGAGAUCGCGAGAUGGAGCAAACCCGAGAAACACUCUCUCAGUUCGGAUCGUAGGCUGCAACUCGCCUACGUGGAGUCGGAAUCGCUAGUAAUCGCAGGUCAGCAUACUGCGGUGAAUACGUUCCCGGGCCUUGUACACACCGCCCGUCACACCACGAAAGUCGGAAGUGCCCAAAGCCGGUGGGGUAACCUUCGGGAGCCA
rnacentral:rRNA from 1 species